GAACAGAGCUGGGGAACAGACAACUAUAGGGGAGGAAAUGAACAGGUGAUUAGUGAGUCCAGGUGAACAGAGCUGGGGAACAGACAACUACAGGGGAGGAAAUGAACAUGUGAUUAGUGAGUCCAGGUGAACAGAGCUGGGGAACGGACAACUACAGGGGAGGAAAUGAACAGGUGAUUAGUGAGUCCAGGUGAACAGAGCUGGGGAACGGACAACUACAGGGGAGGAAAUGAACAGGUGAUUAGUGAGUCCAGGUGAACAGAGCUGGGGAACAGACAACUAUAGGGGAGGAAAUGAACAGGUGAUUAGUGAGUCCAGGUGAACAGAGCUGGGGAACAGACAACUAUAGGGGAGGAAAUGAACAGGUGAUUAGUGAGUCCAGGUGAACAGAGCUGGGGAACAGACAACUAUAGGGGAGGAAAUGAACAGGUGAUUAGUGAGUCCAGGUGAACAGAGCUGGGGAACGGACAACUACAGGGGAGGAAAUGAACAGGUGAUUAGUGAGUCCAGGUGAACAGAGCUGGGGAA